UUCCGGUUGAUCCCGCCGGACCCCACUGCUAUCGAGAUGGGACUAAGGUAUGCUAGUCGAACGACCAGAACUAUGUCUGGGAGUGGCACACUGCUCAGUAACACGUAGCUAACCUACCCUUAGGACGUGGAUACCCCCGAGAAAUUGGGGUUAAUCCGCGAUAGAUGUAAUGUCCUGGAAUGGUAUUACGUCUAAAGGUAUUUCAUACAUGUUUGAAAUAUGCCUAAGGAUGGGGCUGCGGCCGAUCAGGCUGUUGGUGAGGUAAUGGCUCACCAAACCUUUGACCGGUACGGGCCAUGAGAGUGGUAGCCCGGAGAUGGACACUGAGACAAGGGUCCAGGCCCUAAGGGGCGCAGCAACCGCGAAACCUCCACAAUGCACUCACGUGCGAUGGGGCUAUCUCGAGUGCCACCUGAUGAAGGUGGCUUUUCCUAGGUCUUCAAAGCCUUGGGAAUAAGAGGGGGGCAAGACUGGUGUCAGCCGCCGCGGUAACACCAGCCCCUCGAGUGGUGGGGAUGAUUAUUUGGCCUAAAGCGUCCGUAGCCGGCCGAGCAAGUCUUCCGUUAAAUCCAGCGUCUCAAGCGUUGGACUGCGGGAGAUACUGCAGGGCUAGAGAGUGGGAGAGGUCAGCGGUAUUCUGGGGGUAGGGGCGAAAUCCUUUGAUCCCCGGAGGACCACCAGUGGCGAAGGCUGCUGACUAGAACACGUCUGACGGUCAGGGACGAAAGCUGGGGUAGCGAACCGGAUUAGAUACCCGGGUAGUCCCAGCCGUAAACGAUGCAUGCUAGGUGUUGGGUUGGCCACGCGCCACCCCAGUGCCGCAGGGAAGCCGUUAAGCAUGCCGCCU
rnacentral:rRNA from 1 species